AGAGAAAAAAACAAAAGGAAAGUUAAUUGGGGCACUCCAAGCCGUCCGAGCCCUUCUUGCGCUUUCUCCACCUCUAGGUUUCCCGCCGCCGCCCCCGCGUCCGAUGCACCUCCGCUGCCCGAGGAAGGAGCAGCAACUCCUUUAGCCUCGCGCCGCCGUCGACCCGCCCUUCUCGUCGGCCGUGCCCCAUGCUAGAAGGUGGGCGGAGCCUCAUCACGGUGAGAAGGGGCUCGCCGGCGGGGCCGAGCAGCGCCAGCUCGCCCGGGGAGGCAGCGCCCCCGCCGUGGCCGCGGCCGUAGGUGUCAGCGCGGAAGGCGAGGCCGCCGGUGCGGUUGUCGUAGGCCGGAAAGCCGUCGCCGGGGGAGACGAGGGUAGCAGCAGUCGCAGCAGGUGGCGAUGGUGGUGAAAGCGUCGGAUGUGGGCUGCUUCAGCGGGAAUGGCGCAAGGCCCACCGCUUCUUCUACUGCGGCGCUUCAAAACGGCGUCUCUGCAGGUAUGCUAGCGCCUCGUCUUCUCUUGUUUCUUACUGAUGCAAACCGGAAAUGGGUAAAUAUGGAGAUUAGCCAAUGAGAUAUGGUUGUUAAAUUUGUCUUUUGUGGUACAUUUUUUUGAGGAAAUCGGUGAUAACGCAAGGAACUAAGACCUUCAGUGAGACUGUCUUUGGUGUAUUAGCGAAAUUUGUUCAUCGGAUAGAGCUUUGAAUAGAUUAGCCAUCCUCCUCUCUAUUUACAUUCAUGUGCAGAAUGGGUGGUGUUGCAGCGCCUCUAGGUUGCCUGAGGUGGGGGAGACUUGAUCCACCUCCUCCUUGUUUCUAUAGAUCUUUCGCCAAAGAAGGUUGCAGAGAUAUCAAUCUAGAAGAAGAAUGAGGGGGGAUUGGGAAUGUUCUGUAACUAUUUUUAUUGCUAACUUAGAUGGGAUUACAGUUCAUUGGUUUCAUUAUUUGGUCAUGUCUAAUUUUGCUAGCUAAGAUGCUAGCCCCUAUGCUGAACAAUGUUACAUUUUGACUCAUCUAGACCAUCCUUGUUGCAACCCUCACCUUAGCUGCUAAUGGUACCAAUUGUGCUGCUGGGGUUGUUGUUUUUGGUUGUUGAGAAGGAUGCUACCAGUUAUGCCUUUGUUUGUGCAAACUUUAUGAUUAGCAGGUACAGUGAGCACCCUUCAGAACCUCUUGUUUCUUCUUUGCUCAAGUUACAUUACGUAUCAAGAUGUGAGUUACUAAAUGUUCAUGUAUGUAUCAUGGAUGGACACUACCUCUUGUAUUGUUGAUUGGUUUGCAGGCUUAAUGGUUCUGGUUCAGGUAGAAGAGCUUCAGCCUUAGAAGAUUUCUGGGAGAAUCGAGUAAGUGAAUACAAAGUUAUGAAGCUUAUGCCAUGUGAUGGCAGUAUUAACCCCUUCAUGGAAAUGUGUUUAAAAGAAGCACUUGCCUUUGGAAUUAAAGAUCAGUUUAUGACACUGACCAGAGAUCAUACCAAGGGAUUUCAGGGCUAGCAAAUAUGCUAAACAUAAAUACAGAGAGGCAAUCAGGCAGUGGAUUUCCGAUAUUGAUGCGAGAAAAAUUCCUUUGGCUCAAAGCCCACUUACUGAUAUUCUCAUGGUGUUUUAACCAAUAUAUAUAUACCAUCGGCUCGACGGCGAGGAGGGAAACCCCGCAGACCGAGGACAGCGCGAUGACUGUGCCGCAUGUGAAGAGCAUGGUCAUGUCAUGGGACCACACAUCGGUGGUGGUCCGCUUGCCUGCUAUGGCGUCAAACACGACUACACCCUUUUACUCGGCCUAUUCGGAUUGGAUUGGGCAGGGUGCUCUUUUGCUUUAAAGAUAGGAUAGGUGGAUAUAUUUGGUUUUAUGAUGGACAGGUUGAUCAAAAUCACAUGGCCUUUUUUCAAGUUUGAGAAGAAAAAGACACUAGAACAGGUGAUUGAUCACAACCAUACUUUCAGAGAUUUAUAUUUGAACUUUUUCAGUUACAAUUAAAGGCAGAAGGUAGCAGUUGACAUUAUUGGUAAAUUAAUUCUCUGCAUUUACAUAUGUGCUGAUGUAACUAACAUACAUCUAUACAUGGCUUUACUGAGCAUGAUCUUGCAUUUGCUACAGCCUGCUAUGGUCAAAAUGCCUGAACCUAAGAAUAUGCUACCACAGUACCUACGUUUCUCUGUAGAAAAGGUCAAGUGUAAUCCUAAUUUGGGCUACUGAAUUUUAGCCCCUUCACUGGUUAUACAAUGGUUAUCUACAUGUUUAUGACCGAUGUUUCACAGCGGAGGGAGUAUUUAGGAAUGCAUACAAGCAAUUCCUGUAUGAAGCAACACCACAUAAGCUCUAUAUUUCAGAACAAGCAUUCUGCAUUUUCAGAGAUUAAUCUGUGUCGAUAUAUUCAGUGUUUAAGAAGGGCGAUCGAUGCGCUUUGGUGUACAUGAUGAGCAUACUUCAUCCACCGCCGCCGCCUCCUCCCAUCCCAGAUCCGCUGCCGCCACCGGAGGAAGGGCCCCUCCCGAGACCCGCUUCUCCCUCGAGUCAGGUCGUGUGGGCGCCAUCGUCGUCUUCUGCCUUCGGUGCGUGGCACCACUGCCGGAGAGAGCGACGAGGAGGUCCAGCAGCCCGUGCUUUCAUCGUCGUGCGGCGCCAAAAGAAUGACGAGGAGGCGGAGCAGUUCGUGGUGUCUUCGUCAUCGCCGGCCGUGCUGGCUGACCAUGACACAGAGUUAGAGGCCAUCAGGCAGAGGCGAGUGCAAGAGCUAAUGGGACAACAUGGUGGUGCGCGUUGGAGGGAGUGUCGCGUCUUGUGGCAACUGCGCCACCAAUCAAUUGCCUAGGCCAGCUGGCCGAUGCGCUCUGUGUAUCCGAGGAUGACGUUCGAUUUGACCUGACCAGCAGCCGCUGCUGCUCCCACAACCACAUCACCGGCCAUCCAGUGGGCUUCUUAUACCCAUCUAUGUUCUUUGCAACAUUGUACCGCAGAACGUAGAUUUUAAUUCAGUGUGUCGAUCCUACAUGCUUAUUAAUGAACAUGCAGCGUUGGAGGGAGUGUCGCGUCUUGUUGUAUUCAGAGAUGCUCUGUAUUUUGUGGUAGGAAUUUUAAGCUCUAAGGACAUAAUUAUUCAGCCUGCAAGAUUUUUGCUUUGGGUUUUAGAAAACUGAACAACAGUAUAGCAACAUAUUUACUGUAGUACCUGUGUGCAUGUCUGCAUGAUCAUCUUCUUGGUGGCCUGAUUAGAAUUAUGCUAA